rnacentral:lncRNA from 1 species
CGCCUGGCCUCAAAUAUGCAAAGUUUUACAUUUAAUUUAUUUUAGAAAUUAUAGAGAGGGGGACCAUCUACUCACAUCUUAUAGACCAAGAAAACUGUGAGAUCAUUCCUGUUGACAGCAGGGCCAUCAUCUGCUUUGGUGAAUAAUGUGUUCCCAGCCACCUAAAAGCCGAACAAAAUUGCUAGGAUUACAGGCGUGAGUCACCGCGCCCAGCCUUGCAUGAGUCAUUUUUAGCUCCCUGGAUCAUGAGCCUUGUCAAUCUCCUUGACCCCUGAACCCAUGUGGGUCCUGCUAUGAGGAGAUGAGGGCAGCCAGGGGUCUGACA